GAACCUGAGUGUACUGUAUCUUACUGUAAACUCCCAUGAUUCCUUGCUGUUAAGUACACGUGCACACACACACACACUCCAUCAUGGUAAAGAAAGAACACAAGGUCUCUCGGCUGGUUAAUUGGGCGACGUCCACUGGAAUGGCACGUUCUCGUCUGAUAACCCUGCUGAACUCACACACACACACACACACACAUCUGGUUCUGAUCUCACACACACACACACACACACACACACAGGAAAAAAAGGUUUGCUUCCAGUAUGGCAUUCUGGUGUGAAUCACUGUGUGUGUGUGUGUGUGUGUGUGUGUGAGACCACCCUGAAGUUGAUUAUUUUCCGAUAACAUCACGUCCGCAGGUGUUUUAUUCCUCUUACACCACAGCAACUUACCAACUAUUAAAAUUUUUAUUUAUUGAAAAACAUCACAAGACAGCAAGAAAGAGAGGGAAAGAAGAAGUAUGUGUGUAUAUAGGAAGAGACUGCGAGAGCGGGGGAAGAGAAAGAAAGAAAGAGAUAAAGACAGAGAGAGACGGCGACAGAAAGAGAGACAGAGAGACACAGAAAGAGAGUGAGACAGAGAGAGCAACAAAGAGAGAGAGACAGAGAGUGAGACAGAGAGAGACAGAGUGAGACAAAGAGAGAGAGACAGAGAGUAAGACAGAGAGAGAGCGACAGAAAGAGAGUGAGACAGAAAGAGAGUGUUAGACAGAGAGCAAGAGAAAGCGACAGAAAUACAGUGAAACAGAAAGACAGAGACAGUCAGAGAGAGGGGACUUACGCUGCGUUCGACUGAAACUCACACCUGGAAACUUCUGCCCUCCACCGAAGGUCUCCUCUACCCCCCGAGUUCAGAGAGCGACGUCGACUCAAACCAACAUGGCGGCUCGGACAUCAGCAGGAAACACAGCAGCACUUCUUCCCUUUAAACGAGCUCCACUGGACGUACGCACGUUAGCUUUCCGUCAUUCGGCAUACAGACCCGUCCGUGUGUUAAAAUCUCCAACGCUCUCUCUACAUGUCACUGCUCUGAGGAAAACACACGCGGCAUUCGGCUAGCGCGUCGCUGACAAAACACCAACACGGAGGCGUCCCAAACACGGAGGUCGAGAGUGUCCGAACAAGCCGAGUACCAACUUCUGAGGCAAGUCGAAUGCACCGCGAGGACACAAAACAGCUACAACGUUAGCAUUCCUACGUUACUACAGAAAUACACUAGCACACCACUAGCAAUGUCAUGAUCACGUAUCGCGAUUGGCCAAGACUGUGAUUAACCUAAACCACCCCCCCCCCACUGAAUCACGAUUUACCUGACAUGAUCCACUCUCUCUGAAGGCCACAUGUAUAAACACUACAUAGAAAAUAUAUUCAUAAGGAAUUGAAGGAACACUUCAUUAUAAACACGUUUAAUUAUUUUAUCAAUGGCUUACAGUUCAUAAAUCGCUAAAAGAAUGGAUUAUACUAUAAGUAGCGCUUACAGCGCAUUACAUCACCAGUAUAUCUUCUCAUAACGCACUAUGUAAAGUGGAACUCGGUGAUAUAGCACGUUACGAACGCUACUCGUAAAGCAUAAUAACGACAGCUACGCAUUAGAACGUGAUAUGACUGCGCUCAUAGAUUAUUACAGAUAUGGCCUUCAUAGGAAGUUACCAAAAUAACAAGCUAAAACGAACAGUGUGACGAAUGCCACAAAAUGUGCAUGUAUGUGUGUGUGUAUAAACGGUUAGAAAUACGCUCUGAAGACAUCCUGAAUAACACUGAAAGUGAAAAGUGAACACCUAAUCGAUAAAUUCGAUAAUUAAAAUGACGGACAGCGAACGUCAUUACGGAUUAAUCGGGUCAGUGACGUCACUGCGGAUAACCCCACCCCGUCAGGGACGUCACUUCACGACGGUCAGAAAAACGCAUUUCUAUGAAUAAAACCCGUGUGAAAAACAGCGGAGGUCACAGAGUGAGCUGCUGCUGAGGGAAAAGUGCAGGAUCCAGCUCGUCCAAAACAUGAGAACGUUUUAUAUUGAGCGCUUCAAACAAACUGGUAAGUGUAUUAACGUGGUUCAUCGUGUCAGUCGCUGCGACAGUUGCGUGUGCUGUUUAACGUGUUCCGGACAUGUUUCCCUUCAUAUCCUUAUCUGUAAAUGUUAGAAAGUCACGCCAGUAUUUCCAUUUUACAUGAAGUCUCGUCCUGAAAGCGAGCGAGUCUCCGUUAAACUUCACUGAACGAGCGCGAGUCCACGCCGGUGCACUGCAAUCACACCUCGCGCAAUAGAGAGGAAGAGCAAUAACUCUGACUAAAAUAUACCUUUUUUAAAUCAUUCAUUUUCCACUGGCCCUUUAACCUGACUAAUCGAAGAAAUAGUCGACAGAUUAAACGAUUAUCAAAAUAAUCGUUAGUUGCAGCAUUAGUUCAGUGUAUUAAAGUGAAUACACUGUCUUUCGAAUCAAAGAAUUACUUCAGUAUCGAAUAAAACAAACAAACGAACGAAUCGUGAGUCGAAUCAUUUCAGUCAGCUCAAAGAUUCAUUCUUGAACCCCAGGCCUACAAACUAAAACUUGAUUAAAAAAAACAAUAAUAAUUAAAAAAAAAACAACAUGAAGUGCGACAAGACAGGUUUUGUUCGUAAGUCGUGAUUAUAGAUUUGAAUCGUGAUUAUGAUUUUAAAGCGUUUUUGGUCACGCGCUUUUGUCCAGCUGGUGUGUUUUGUAUAAAAGCAUCUGCAUAAAGGAUCAAUGUAAAUUUACCUGUCUGAGGGUCAGUGACCCAUUAAUAGGCUUUCUCAGGUGUGUCAGAGCAUGACAAGUACACAGUGCACUAUAUUAAGGGAUACAACAGCAACGCUGCACACUUCAACCCCUAUCUAGUGUACUUGUAAAGGACAGAGUGUACAGAGACGAACCCCUUGUUUGGACACCAGCAGCAUGCAUACCAUAUUGAGUUCAGUCCACGCCCACUUUUUUUUGGCAUUGUUUUUGUACUCCUAAGUCCAGUAUUCAUAAAGAUAACCAUGAUAAAGGCUUCCCAUAUGCACACAGUGAAUAGGGGAUGACGUCAUGAGCGCAUCACCCUGCUCAGACACUGUGGAAGGCAGGAAGGCACAUGGGAUUCAGCCAAAAUCGCUUCAAAGGGUGACGUGGUUGCUAGGCAACAAUAUCCACAACCUUUUAAAACACAGUGACAUUUAUUCAAUAAGAAAUGUCCUGCAGGUUCUUAUUAUUUAUUUAUUUAUUUUAGAGGCAGGACUAAACACGUGUAGCAUCCCUCACAGGCUCCCCCCUAUUUCAGGCAUCAGUGGAAUGAUCCGUUACCAUGGCGCCUUUAAUCAGCGCGCGAGCCGGACAAAAUGAAUGAGUGACUGUUAUUAACAGAAACGACUGGACGUUAAUAUUUGGUUAUCAAUAAUAAUAUUGAUAAAUUAUGUGUGUGUAUAUAUAUAUUAUUUUCUUUACUAAAUUAUGUUUUCUUUUGCUAGUAUAUAAAUAACUCAUAUUUUGUUGACAGGAAUCGCUGUUUUUAAGUUUACCUCAGAGUACCCGUGUAAAAUUCAACCAAGUUACCCGGAUGUUGUUAAAAUGGCUGCCUCUUCGCUAGCUUACCGUGACACCCAAACAAACCCAACACAAUGAGUUUCAAUUAAAAACCGUACAAAAUUAUUUAUUUUCUUUUUAAAACUCAACCAGUGCGCCAAAUGGAACGUUUCUAUGUGUUUUUAAGUUGAGGCUUAAAGUCCAGUUAUACGACGUGGAAGGGAAAAAAAAAACUUUUUAAAGUCAGUUUCCACCGCCGUUGUGUAAGCUUGCGUGACUUAAAAAUAUGUUAAUUCGAGGAGAAGGAGGAGACGGAGGGGGAAAAAGAGGGGAAAAGACAAAAAAAAACGUGUUCUCAUAAGGGGGAGUGUAAAAAAAAAGAAAGCCUAUCGGAUUACAAUAACAUCCUCGAAGCCCGACCACCCCCUCCCUCAUGCGAGCAUCGCGUGAGAGCACCGCGCGCCUCGAUUAUGAUUAAUAUAGAGGCUCCGUCCCAAAAAAAAAAAAAAAAAACACCACACACAAACCCCCCGCGCACUACCGUACUAACGAGUGUGACCAAACAGGACACCACCACUACCGGCGCGACGAGACCCGUUAAACCGUCGACUGCUCAUCCGCCAUACUGCCUCACUCAACCCAAACAGAAACUUCCACAGAAUUUUUGUGUAUGAACGUAGCGCACUACCCUCUCCAUACUGCUUAGUGUGGUAGUAGUUGAUUUUGGACGCGACCCAAAAAGCGCGCUUGCCAAAACUAGAGUUGAGGCUUUGCAGCACAAAAGGCCCGGAUGUUAAGGUGGACCGGAGAGUUCAGCAGUCAGAGGAGGGGAAAUGGAACCAUUAAAUGAGAGUGUUGUUCACUCCGCCCAUGGGGGGAGCGUUACUCAGGGACACACACCACAGCGAUUUACGCAAAGCAAAAACAAACAAACAAACCAAAAAACAUACACAGAGAGACACAAAAUUGAAACAAAAGUGUACGUUUACGAUUACAAACUACUUUACGUUUCUUUGGUUUGUCUGUUUGUCCCCCCUCGCCCGAUGCAGUCGUACCAUCAAAAUCUUGCGUAAAAACAAACAAAUGAAUAAUUUAACCUCUGAUCACUGUUACCUUUAAUCACUCUGUAAAAAGGCACCACACACACACAAAUUCUCAGGCACUAAGGGUACCAAAGGUACUAAAGAGGUCCGUUUCAUAGCACCUCUGCGGCGAGAAGGAAAAGUUCUGACAGCAGAAACACUACUGUCAAAGUCGCGGGACCGUGAGGCAAAAGCGCGCUUUGGCUGCAUUUACACUGCAGGUCUUGAUGCCCAAUUCCAAUUCGUUGACUAUAUCCAAUUUCUUUUAGACGACCCGCUUACAUCUUCUUUUAAAAGUGACCCAUAUAUCCGAUAUCUGUGUUUACAUUAUACACUUCGUGAAACAACCCGAGGUAGACGUCACCAGAAGCUUUGGUCGAAAAGGAAGUAAAAAAACGCCACAAUGUGCGAUGGAACGCAGACGAAAAUAUAACACAAGCUUUUAGUUUUCUGCACCAUAUUUAAAGUUGAGCAGAACACCCGCCUCUUAAGGCGGAGAAAUUAAAGAAGAGAGCCCUUGUUGAGAGACGUGUUUUCUCGGAUGGUGUCCACCUGAAGUGACGUCAUACGCCGCCGUCGCUUUUUCAAUGACGUACGACUGGUACCGACAGGAGAAUAUCCAAUUCAUAUCGGUUUAUUCCCACAUAUGAACGAGGCCUGAAGCGGAUCUGAGAAUAUCAUGGGUCAUAUCCGAUCUGCUCCAGAUGGAAGGAAAAAAUCGGACUUGGGUCACUUGAACCAUGUAGUGUAAAUGCUGCCAAAGUGACUUCAGUGAAACACAGCUGUCUUUAAGACAAAAAAAAAAAUACUUUGGGGGAAAGUUUUUACAAGUUUAUAUGCUUUAUGUAUUAAGUUUAUAACACACUGCAUGUUUGGCAAAGAAAGUUUGCAAGCAAGCAAACAAACAGUUGUGUUGUAACAAGUUGCAAGUUCAAGUUCUUGCAUAUCUGUAAGGAAACACUUUUUUUAAUAAAACAAAAAAAAACAGUGCACUUGUUUACUUGUGUGUUUAAUUCAUGAAUGCAUGUUUCAGAUCAAACGCACUGUUGUUAUUAUCAGCUAAG